rnacentral:rRNA from 2 species
GGGUUGUGAGGUUAAGCGACUAAGCGUACACGGUGGAUGCCCUGGCAGUCAGAGGCGAUGAAGGACGUGCUAAUCUGCGAUAAGCGUCGGUAAGGUGAUAUGAACCGUUAUAACCGGCGAUUUCCGAAUGGGGAAACCCAGUGUGAUUCGUCACACUAUCGUUAACUGAAUACAUAGGUUAACGAAGCGAACCGGGGGAA